GAGAAAAUGAUGUGUAAAUGUCAAGCAGAGACACAUUUCAGGCUACGUGGAGAUGACAGAGGAAAAAUCUGAAUCUGUCUGGAUUGUGCAUAAACUCAUUUUUCCUUUUUAGGGAAGAAAAUCAUCAUUCAAGUAUUGUUCAUAGAAUUCUUUGCUCUUCAAUAUGAAUUUUUCCAUGUUUGGGGUACCUACACUUGCUUACAUUGAAAGGAAAUAUUACAUCUAUGUAACUUCAAAUUUUAAGUUUAGUUUUAACUUUGUCUUUCCCUAAGUGAAAAUUGAAGAAAAGAAAUAACUUAUAACUGUAGCUUAAAGCUGAAAGAAUCUUCUGUAAAUUCUGACCCAAUAACCUGCUUCAGAUUCCAACUUAAACUUCAUGUUGGGCCGUCGACACCACUUCAUUUUCUCUUGGUCCAAAAUGGCUUGGCAAGGGUCCUCCUUUUGGCUGAUCAUGUUUUCAGGCUUCGAGACCAGGUUCAAUUAUUGCUUGUCUGUGAAACCUUUCCCGCUUCUCCGAAAAUUCAGAGGAACUUCUUUAUCAGCUCUCCGGUAACGUUUGUAUUUCCAUCAUUACUCUCAUGUUUUUUUAGUCUCUGCAGAAUGUGGGUGUUUUCGCAUUAGUCUUAACAUAUCCACGGAGAAGAAGCCAUGUCUCCUCCAGGCUUGUAUCCAUGGUUUCUUUCUUAGUGCUUAUUCACAGUAGGUCCUGAAUGACUGAAAAGAAAUUUCUUUCUUAGAUGUUCAUGUCAUCCUGUUAAUUUAUAGACAAUAUCUGAUCAACGGAAUUAUCUUUCCCAUCAUGUGUUUAAGAUUCUGUGUGUAAUACAGAUGAUUUAUACCAUGCCCAGGGUUUUGUGCCAAGUAACCUUGGCGUAGGACACGUUAGUGACAGUGUGGAAUGAGAUCAAAAGUUGCUAGAAGAAAGCCUAUAAUUUUGCAGCAGAUUAGUCAUGUGAGCCCUAAGUACCCAAUGGGAUCUGGUGCGGGAAUGAUGGCCCUGGGACAGAAUCAUUGGGAACAAGAACAGUUUUACCAUUAUUGGGAAUGUAUAUGUGAUGGUGGGUGAGGACAGAGGCACAGAAAGUAGGAAGCCAUUUGAUGUGUGUGGCUAGGGGUCAGAACUGGUGUGGGAGUGGUAGUGCGAUUUGCUUGUGAAGGACGACUCAGCAGGACUCAGGCACUUGCUUGCAAAGUUCCCUCUAUUAUCUAGACAUUAGUUGCAGUGCGUUUUCAUUUUGUCUUAUGAAAACUUUGCUCCACCCAGAACUAGAACGAUCUGUUUAGUUUGUUCGUAGUUCAGUUACCGCUCUCAUGUCACAGUUUUCUUGCACUGUGCAAGGCUUUAUGUGCUUUUAGUUAAACUUGCAGGACUGUUGGUUUUGAAGGCUCCUUGAUAACCUGUGAUUGCUUUGCCUUUAUAAAAUAGACUCUAUAUUGAACUUUGGAGGCAUAUGUAAUAAUUUAGAUAAGGGCCAAGUUGGAAACUCAAGAGGGUUGAAUCAAACCCAAGUUUUGGUAUAGCAGUUUGCUCUGUUGAUUCUGCUCCCCUUUUUUGGCCCCUAAUACGGUUACUUUUUUUACAUAAAAAAUAUCACAUGUUCGCAUUCAAGUACUACGAAGAAGAAGCAAUAACACAGCAGUUGCCCAGCCUUUUACAAAUGCUGUCCUGAAUCAGUGGUUAGCUUGCCGUAGCCUAAUCGAAAUGCCUCCAAGGAACAAACAAUGCAAACAAAACAGAACUAACUCUAUUUUUCUUGAAAAAAAUCAUUUCCAAGUCUUGGUUUUCACUGCCAGAGCCUUUUACUUAGCUCUUAUCUGGGUUUACCGUGUUCUGACCAUUUUUCUCUCGUCUCCAGCUCACUGAAUGCCUCUCUUGGCUCCUGUUCAGACGGGCACAGUGAAGGACAGUUUUUCUUCUAUUGUUUCAGUGCCUCUCUUUCCCUUUGUUCCUCAGCUGCUUUUUCUUUGAUUCCUGAAUCACCAACAAGCCACUAGUCCUCCCUGGUCACAUCUGGCUCCCUUUCCUCCUGUUAAAACAUUUAGUUAUAAUUUCAGAAAAAGGAGAAAAUCUGGGCAUUAAACACAGUCCCUCAGAUUUUUCAGCUUCUUCCUCCAAACUCAGAAGGAGUAUUUGCUUAUAGUUUUAUUUAUUAGGCAAAUAUUGAUUGAUUGCCUUCUCUGCACCAGAUCCAGUUCCAGACCCAAGACAGAGAGCAAUGGGCAAGAAUAAGUCCUUCUGCAAUGGGCAAGAAUAAUGGGUUUGAUGAGGACGUGGGUUUGAUCCCUGGCCUCGCUCAGUGGCCCGGGAUCUGGUGUUGCCGUGAGCUGUGGUGUAGGUCACAGACAUGGCUUGGAUCUGGCAUUGCUGUGGCUGUGGCGUAGGCCAGAAGCUGCAGCUCCAGUUCAACCCCUAGCCUGGGAACUUCCAUAUGCCACAGGUGCAGCCCUAAAAAGCAAAUUAAUAAUAGUAAUAUAAUAAAAUUUGAGAGAGUGAACAGAAUUAUGAAGAAAAUGAAAGAGGUCGUGUGAUGCAGAGACCCUGGGAAGGGAAGGGCUACUGUUGAGGGGUCAUCUGAGCAGACCUCUGGGCAGAGGUGCCCUUGCAGCUGAGACAGGAGUGAUGGAAAGGAGCCACUGCCACAGGCUGCAGGCCCAGCUUCCAGGCCAGAAGGGUAACAGCCGCAGAAGCUCUGGGUAGGAGCCAAGCAAAAGUAUUAGGGAGCAGAAGGGACGACAAACUGGAGCAUGGUCUUCUUAAAGAAAAUAACACUGAGUGAACGUUUACUAGGACAAUCAACAUUGAAAUAGAAGUGUGAUGGGACUGUAGGGGUCCCAGCAUGGCGAGCCAAGUGGUAGGUUAUUGUAGCCAUUUAGACAAAGUAUAAAGACGGCUUGGAUCGAAGCGGCAGUAGUUGAGGCGUGCAGUAGAAAUAGCAGGACUCGCUAACGGAUUAGAUGUGGAAGAGGGGAGAACGGGAAAAUCCAAGACGGAGGCAGUUUUUGACAAGAGGCCUAAAUGCGUACAAACACAACAGCCUGCUUGAUGGAAUAAAAGGCAGCUGAGACAAAAGUAAGGCUAUUAGCAGACCGUUUAUAGCUGAAUGUCUGCACAUCUGGCUCCAUCCCCUGGACAAACGCUUACAGGCAAGGAUGAAAAAUUCCUCUAUUAGAAUGUUAGACGGAGAGGGUGGAAGAGUGGUGGGAAUUCAAGAGACUCGUCUGAAAAUAGUAAAUUUAACUAACGGAGGCCUGACCGAUGUCAAAGACACCCGGAGACUGGCACAUGACGAGGCAUAGGUCUCGGCAAAGGUAGAAACACCCUGAGGAGAAGACACAUGUCAAUUGGUUUAGGACGUAUUUGAAAAGAUGAUGGAAUUUGUAAAACAGUUGGAGAAAGAGAGCAUAUAGUUGGAGGGAGUCACUGACUCAGAUUUUCAGUCGCAGUGACGGCAGAGUGGACACCGUGAGGAAAGGGAGGCGACGAGACUUGGGGGAGGCGAGAAAUCAACCCAGUGGGCACCGCUGGAAUUUUAGGUCUUGGGGGAUCCACAGGAGAUGUUUUUUGAUUCCUGAUGCAGAGGCUCAGAGUUUUAGGCUGAGGUUAUGUUUCUAAAGAUAAAGUAUCUGAAGUGAGGCUAGAUGACGGAAAAGGGGUAACACUAAAGACAAGACAAGUGUCUUCUAAUAAAAUGGGCAGUGACCAAAGCCAAAUGCGAGGCUCGGAGGGCAGGAGGAGCCAGAUGGGACGCAGAGAGGUAGGAGCCGAUCUCGAAGAGAUUUGGGCCAGUACAGCAUUCGAGGAGCUCCUGGGAUCGGGGUGGGAGAGUUUCUAGAACAUGGUAUUCUGUUUUCACAACAUCAGAGGCCACAGAAAAUUCGAGGGGGACAAAAUGUGACAAAAAAGCAAAUCUACCUAUUCACCUAAUAAGGAGAUUUCCACAAUAGAGGCAAGAAGGUCUAAAUAAAUUGUAUCACAGAGCCAGUGAGUGGAGUGCAGAGCAACUUUGACUUUGCAAAAUCAAUAUGAAUGUAGUUUCCCAGAUCACAGAUUCCCAAGCUUGGAAGCGUUGUGACCUUAAUAAAAUGGAGUCGUGCAAAGGCCUGCUUUUCCAUCUAAAUCCCUUUCCCCUUUCUUUCUGAGUCUGCACUUGCCCCGCGAGAAUAUACACCCAGUCCCCUUACAGCGAGGUGUGGCCGUGGGACUGGCCAGCCCGGUUUGCCCACUUCCAGCCUCUUACAUGAGACAGAAACGGACUUUUGUAUUAUCUGAAUGGUGGGCACUUUUUUGUUACGAAAGCUUGGCCUCUCCUCUCGUUUACGCAGCUCCAGUCAGGAGGGGCUGGUGGCUGUAUCCUGCCUCUCAUGAGAACACAGAGAAUUUCAACAGAUAUGAACAUUGCGAAGUCAAUCCCCAGUCAAGACCAGGAAUAUGCGUUUUCUAUACCUCUGUCCUUCCAAAUUCCUUGUCAUUUUUUACGUGCCGCAUACCAUUUCAUGCCUCCCCACCGUCGGGUAGAUUGCCCUCUCUUUGUCCAGUGGUCUUUCUCAUUCUCUGCCUGGCUUACUCCACUCGGUUCUGUGAGAUCCAGAUCACAGAACCUUCCCUACAUGGCUCCCCCCCCGCCCCAUCUAUAGAGAUGACUCUUGCACGUUGUCUCACUGCGGCACGUCCUCCUCCGCCACUGUGUGCUGUGCAGUGCUUAUCUGGUCACAUCAGGCUCCCGCACUAGGCUACGAACUCCUUGUUGAGUGGGCAACGUAAUUUAUUCAUCUUCAUUUUCCAGCCCUCAUCCCUUAGCAUUUCUGACACAUAGAAGCCUGUAGACUCAGUCUGAGGAAAGAAUUCUCAGGAGAAUAGAGAAAGAAAAAUGUUCUUUCCUUUGGGGUAAUUAUUGUUUCGCUACUAGGAAUUUUAGAUCCAGAAAGGAAAGAUCUCAGUGAAUAUGUACAAAUUACUAAUUCAGGGUUAUUCUCUGAAAUAGAACUUUUUGGUGCAUUUAAACAUGGUCUAACAAGAGCUGAAUCAUUAUCUACCGUGAUAAGACCUGUUGGAGAGAGUCUCUUUCAUCAUUAAAUGAAAUGUUGAAGAUGGUAGAUUGCACUCUCAUUUCUUGAUUCAAGUAGGACAGAGAAGUUAAUCAGUCUGAUCUUGUCACUGUUUUAUUUAUGCCCAGGCUUUUGAUCAGAAGCCAGACACUAAAUGCAUUAAACCUGCACACGCAGGCGCACACACACACAGACACACACCCUUCUUCCCAAACAUAUCUUCAUGAACUUUGUUUUAUACCCAGACUGUGUACAAUGUCAGUCUCAAACUGUAAUUCAAAGUACAAGGCUUUUCUUAAGAUGGAAAAAAAUAAUCGCCUAAAUGCUACAAUUUUGGUAACACUGAAAAAUCUGACACUUUCACAGAUCCUUCACAACCAGUCAGAUGGCAGAAAGUGACAGUCAGCUGUCCAUCUUUAACCAGAGGAAAGAGAGAGAAGGAAUGCUGAGGCGUGCAAAGGGGAGUGGAAGAAAUAGGCCGUAUUCAUGAAAAAAAAGAAAAAAAUGACAGUGUGGGUGACAACAGGAAAUCAUUUCUAUCAAGAAAUAUAAAUCACUGCUUACCAUCUUCAGCAUCAUCGGCCAGGCUCGUCGCAUCUCACUGUGCAGUUGGCCUUAAUAUUUUGAGGACGUGCAGGAGGAUCCGGGCCUCCUGCUGAGCUUACAGGGCAGCGCGGACCUCCUGAGAGCAAGACCACCCUGGCCUGGGCGCUGGUCCUGCUUUUCCUCCAGGACCUGAUGACCUUCGGGCGACUCACUCCAUCUCUCUGCACCUCUGUCUUCUGCAGUGCAAAAUGAAUGCAGUCCACCAGAUGGCCUUGAAGUCCCUCGAGUAGAAGACCUUUGAGUUUAUUUUUUCCACUGGACUCUACUCAUUUUCUUUUAAUCUGAAAUAUUCACCAAAGUCCUAUGGCUCCAUUCUACAUUAAAUAAUUUUACAUUAUAUAUCCAAGUAUUUUUAUUUUUAUUUUUUGGUCUUUUCUAGGGCCUCGCCCACGGCAUUUGGAGGUUUCCAGGCUAGGGGCCUAAUUGGAGCUGUAGCUGCCAGCCUAUGCCAGAGCCACAGCAACGCCGGAUCUGAGCCGUGUCUGCGACCUACACCACAGCUCAUGGCAAUGCUGGAUCCUUAACCCACUAAGCGAGGCCAGGCAUCGAACCCAUAACCUCAUGGUUCCUAGUCGGAUUCGUUAACCACUACACCACCAUGAGAACUCCUAUCCAAGUACUUUUCUAUUGUUAGUGGAAAAUAGAGUUUCACAGUGGGCCUUGUGCACUUUGAUCUCAAAUUUUCCCUUCUUCCUAAUGUUGCAGAAAGGGUUAGAUCCCCUUUCUAAGUCUCAGGAAAAGUGUGGUGGCGUCCAUGCAGGAAUGUUAUUAGCUGAGGAAGUAUUCAUAAGGUUUAAGCAAAAGACACUUCAAGUGUAAGAAUAACUGUUGGUCACCUUACAUCCCUGAGUUGUCAAGGACUUUUCUGUCUUUGCCUGGGAUGGCUCUGACUUGCAUUUCCAGCCCUCUUUUCUGCUUGGAGUGCAAGGUCCCAUUCCUAGUUCAAAGAUAACAUCUUUGCUAAAGAAGGGCUGCUCAUUGAUAUGCAGAUUGAAGAACCAGAAUGUCCUUUAGGAGUUUCAAGCUGUGGAAUCAACCACAGGCCUGCAGAAUAAUAGGGCCAUAGAGCCUUUUACAUUGUGAGACUUUGAUCUGCUUGUAACAGGUCACUAAGUUUUAUCCAGGAG
rnacentral:lncRNA from 1 species